GCUGGGCACGGUGGCUGUAGUCCCAGCUACUCAGGAGGCUGAGGUGGGAGGAUCGCUUGAGCCCAGGAGUUCUGGGCUAUAGUGCAUUAUGCCAACUGGGUGUCCACACUAAGUUCAGCAUCAAUAUGGCGACCUCCCAGGAGCAGGAGACCACCAGGUUGCCUAAGGAGGGGUGAACCGGCCCAGGUCAGAAAUGGAGCAGGUCAAAACUCCCAUGCUGAUCAGUAGUGGGAUCGCACCCGUAAAUAGCCACUGCAGGCUGGGCAUU
ensembl:misc_RNA Metazoa_SRP Metazoan signal recognition particle RNA